GCUCUUUGGUGAUUCAUAAUAACUUCUCGAAUCGCACGGCCUUGCGCCGGCGAUGGUUCAUUCAAAUUUCUGCCCUAUCAACUUUCGACGGCUGGGUCUUGGCCAGCCAUGGUGACAACGGGUAACGGAGGGUUAGGGCUCGACCCCGGAGAAGGAGCCUGAGAAACGGCUACUACAUCCAAGGAAGGCAGCAGGCGCGCAAAUUACCCAAUCCCGACUCGGGGAGGUAGUGACAAUAAAUACUGAUACAGGGCUCUUUUGGGUCUUGUAAUUGGAAUGAGUACAAUUUAAAUCCCUUAACGAGGAACAAUUGGAGGGCAAGUCUGGUGCCAGCAGCCGCGGUAAUUCCAGCUCCAAUAGCGUAUAUUAAAGUUGUUGAGGUUAAAAAGCUCGUAGUUGAACCUUGGGCCUAGCCGGCCGGUCCGCCUCACCGCGUGCACUGGCUCGGUUGGGCCUUUCCUUCUGGAGAACCCCAUGCCCUUCACUGGGUGUGGUGGGGAACCAGGACUUUUACUCUGAACAAAUUAGAUCGCUUAAAGAAGGCCUAUGCUCGAAUAUAUUAGCAUGGAAUAAUAGAAUAGGACGUGUGGUUCUAUUUUGUUGGUUUCUAGGACCGCCGUAAUGAUUAAUAGGGACAGUCGGGGGCAUCAGUAUUCAAUUGUCAGAGGUGAAAUUCUUGGAUUUAUUGAAGACUAACUACUGCGAAAGCAUUUGCCAAGGAUGUUUUCAUUAAUCAGGAACGAAAGUUAGGGGGUCGAAGACGAUCAGAUACCGUCGUAGUCUUAACCAUAAACUAUGCCGAUUAGGGAUCGGACGGUGUUAUUUUUUGACCCGUUCGGCACCUUACGAUAAAUCAAAAUGUUUGGGCUCCUGGGGGAGUAUGGUCGCAAG
rnacentral:rRNA from 1 species